UUCUCAAGGAAAAGAGCUAAGGUAGGCUGCCAGAUAAAAUGCUGAGGUUUUAAGUGGAAGAUAUGUGAACACCCAGUGGGCUGGAUGGCUGUCCCUGCUACAAGUCUGUGAUGUCUCCGUCCAGUGGCAGAGCUGGAAGGCAGGUGAUCCAGAAUUACUCCCGAACUCUACCAGCUGAAAUCCUCCUCAACUCACAUCAGACAAGACGGCCCUGCCACUUACCUGUCAGAUCACUUUGGGCAGUUUACAGGAGAGAAGAUGCAGCCUGGGAGAGAUGCAGCAGGUGUCUGAGGCCACACAGCAAGUCACCCAGGGCCAGGAUCUGAAGCUGGGUCUCUCCAGCUCCACUGCCUGGGCACUUUCUCCUCCACAGCGACCUUCAGGUCAUCAUGAGGAGCCUUUCGGACUAAAGCUAGAGAGCUGGGAUUCCAACAGUUCAGCAACCCAUGACUUCUCCAUGGCAGCUGCUGCCUGACCACCUAGUGCCUUUCCACUAAGAUUGUUCCUUCCCUCUCCUGAAGAUUAUCCUCCUGCCCCUCUCUCCCAAACAUCUGCGGUGUGCACCUGCUGCCCAAAGUUGAACUUUUUUUUGUUAGAGACAGGGCCUCACUGUGUCAUCCAGGCUGGAGUGCAGUGGCGUGAUCAUAGCUCACUGCAGCCUCCAACUCCUGGGCUCAAGUGACCCUCUCACCUCAGCUUCCUGAGUAGCUGGGACUACAGGCAUGCACCACCACGCCUGGCUAAUUUUUAAAUUUUUUGCAGAGACAGGGUCUAGCUAUGUUGCCCACCCUGGUCUUGAACUCCUGGGCUCAAGCAAUCUGUCUGCCUUGGUCUCCCAGCUCGCUGGGAUUACAGGCAUGAAUCACCAUGCCCGGUCCUCCAAAGUUGAACUUUUGAGACUCAGUUUCCUUCUUGGUAAAUUCAGGCUCCUAGGUGCUACCUCCUCAGAGACAUCCUCCUUGACCACAUCACAUGACCUCUCGCAGAGGCCAGAUUCUUUAAUGUAUUCAUUUGUCUAUUAUCAUGUUUCCCCAGUAGAAGUUGCACAAACGGCA
rnacentral:lncRNA from 1 species